rnacentral:tRNA from 1 species
GCGUUGUUGGUGUAGUGGUUAGCAUUGAAGCCUUCCAUUUCAUGCGGCAAAGAACAGCUUUAGUCCGGGGUUCGAAUCCCCGACAACGCA